AACGAACGCUGGCGGCAGGCUUAACACAUGCAAGUCGAGCGCCCCGCAAGGGGAGCGGCAGACGGGUGAGUAACGCGUGGGAACGUACCCUUUGCUACGGAAUAGCUCCGGGAAACUGGAAUUAAUACCGUAUGUGCCCUACGGGGGAAAGAUUUAUCGGCAAAGGAUCGGCCCGCGUCGGAUUAGCUAGUUGGUGGGGUAAUGGCCUACCAAGGCGACGAUCCAUAGCUGGUCUGAGAGGAUGAUCAGCCACAUUGGGACUGAGACACGGCCCAAAGUCCUACGGGAGGCAGCAGUGGGGAAUAUUGGACAAUGGGCGCAAGCGUGAUCCAGCCAUGCCGCGUGAGUGAUGAAGGCCUUAGGGUUGUAAAGCGCUUUCACCGGAGAAGAUAAUGACGGUACCUAAUCAGAAAGCCACGGCUAACUACGUGCCAGCCGCCGCCGUAACAC
rnacentral:rRNA from 1 species